GAUUGAACAAAUCUAAACGUGACUGGCAAGAGAAAAAUCAUUUACGAAAAAAAAAUAAUAUUUGAAAGGGCAUUCAUACAAUAUACAAAUUUACAGGUUAUAUAUGCGAAAUGACUCUUUCUUUUAUCAUUUAUAGGUACAUUGUUUAUGACAGAAUGGAAGUCAAACAAACCUUACAAACUAAAUACAGAUUACACAACUACCCAAACCACAAGCAGUAACAGUAUUUUUUGCAGAACUCCACUGGAUAAUAAAAUUUUAAUUUUCAUCUGUUAAGGCAAAGAAAAUUGCAGCAGAAAUAAACAUGCCCAAUACGUACAUGAAUGACAUAGAUGAUGAAAGAACAAACGAAAAAAAAGACCACAUAUUCACAGUUGGAUCAAGCUGAGACCAGCUGAGCUCCAAUUAAACGAAUGAUUCAGUAAACAAGGAAUUGUGAUGUUAUGGUGGACUGCUAAAGCAUAGUAAAAUCAAAAUUAUGUUCCGAUAUAACCACACCACAUCAAACAGUCCAAAGAUGGCUAUAGCCAGUUGUACCAUCUCCAUAUAUCACAUAGUUUAGAUAUAUAAUAUCUAGGAGUGAAACAGAACUCAGCUCUGUUGCAGGCUAAAUAAAUAAAGCUAGUUAAAAAGGCAGGGAAUUGAUACUUGGAAGAUCUUCGCACUUGUAACCUAGUGACUAAUCACUGUUUACAGAGACCAACAUGAUAGAUUGGCUAAUGCAAAUGAAGAACAAAAACAAAGUGGAAUUGCUUACUAAGUCAAGUAAUUGCAACAAGAAGGUAGAGAACCUAAAUAGAUGUAGUGCAACAGUGCCCCGAAGGUCCAUGACAGGUCUCCGUUUCCCUUCAAAAAAUGAACUG
rnacentral:lncRNA from 1 species